UACGGGGGGGGGCAAGCGUUGUUCGGAAUUACUGGGCGUAAAGGGCUCGUAGGCGGCCAACUAAGUCGGAUGUGAAAUCCCCAGGCUUAACCUGGGAACUGCAUCCGAUACUGGAUGGCUUGAAUUCGGGAGAGGGAUGCAGAAUUCCAGGUGUAGCGGUGAAAUGCGUAGAUAUCUGGAGGAACACCGGUGGCGAAGGCGACCACCUGGACUGAUACUGACACUGAGGUGCGAAAGCGUGGGGAGCAAACAGG
rnacentral:rRNA from 1 species